GUGGAACCCAAGGCGGGGGAAAGGGAGGGAAUCAAGGUGGUUUGGGGAGGAACAAGCGAGGGAAAAGAGAGGGGAAAAGGGACUAAAAGGAGCUGGUUGUGUAUAAACAGGUAGAAAAUUACCUUCGAAUUAGUUCAAGAUGAUUUGCUCCUUACAGGAGUUUAAAGAAAAAGCUGAAGCAGCGCUAGGACUUGAUGUUAUUCUGACAGCUUCUGAAGGAUUCGGAAUGUACCAGAAGGUUGGGAUAGUGAUUCAUUUAAGGAAGGACAAAGGAAAGAGGGGCCAAAAUCCUUUUAUAAUGCAACUGCCAACACCAAUCAAAACCAAUCAACAGUGAAGGUUGGACCGUGGGGAGAGGGAGACCUACCACCAGGAUGAAAUAUCUCACUAAUGGUUGCUUUGGAAGAAAGCCUCCAAGAGCCAGGCUGGAAGAAAAGCCAGACAAUCACAGAGAAAGGUUGCCUUUUCAAAUGAACUAACACAAACCUGCUGUUCCCCCCCCAGCUUUUCAGGUGUAUCUCUCACAUGGGGCAAGAAAUGCAACUGGUGCCGUCUCUUCCGUAGGGAGACAGGGAGCGAGCUGAGCGCCAGUGACUCAACACACACGUUGAGUCAGCAAACAGAAUUUUGGAUUAGCUAAAAAAGAGGAGGGAAGCAAGCAAGCCAGAAAGAUGAGAGCUGGAAUUGUCUUUCUCCGUAGUACAACACUAAAUGCACACAAAAUGCAACACAAAAACAGCAAUAUAAUUAUUCCCAGCAGAGAAGAUCCAAUGGAUGAAAAAAAGAGCCAAGCUGCCAUUCACCUUCUAAAAAAAGAGAAUAAUGUGACAUGGAAAAAAGAGUAGUACUUAAUUAUUUAUCAGUUGGACUGCAUAUUAAAGAACUUUCUUUUACUUGAGUCAGGUUUCAAACAGUCUAAAGAAACCUCCUGCUUUUUAUUUAAAAUAAGUGUAUUGAAUAUACUGCCCUUCGCAUAAAUUCUUUUUAAAACAGUUUGAAAGUAUUUUCGGCUUCAGAAUGCAACACCUUUGGAAAAGGAAACAACAACACAUACACCUGACUACAGGAAACUGGAAAAAGGGCUGCAGCAACGUAUUGUUGUGAAGGAAGAAAUUAUGUCAUUUUUAUUUUGCGUUAAACCUCAAAAUCUAGCAGAACGAUGAGCCAAGACAGGUUACUUACCUGGGACUUCUCUUCAGAACGUGUUACCUGUUUGUACAGUGGUGCUGAGGUUACCUGUAAGCAAGCACUUCUGUACAUUUGACCAUACGAGUUUCCUCAGUUUUGUGCUUCAAGCCUCCUGCAUUCAACUGCUGCAACAAUAAUGGGAGCAAAGC
rnacentral:lncRNA from 1 species